UACGUAGGGGGCAAGCGUUGUCCGGAAUCAUUGGGCGUAAAGGGCGCGUAGGUGGCUUGGUAAGCGUGCGGUGAAAGCCCGGGGCUCAACCCCGGGUCGGCCGUGCGGACUACCAUGGCUUGAGCACUGUAGAGGCAGGUAGAAUUCCGGGUGUAGCGGUGGAAUGCGUAGAGAUCCGGAAGAAUACCGGUGGCGAAGGCGGCCUGCUGGGCAGUAGCUGACACUGAGGCGCGACAGCGUGGGGAGCAAACAGG
rnacentral:rRNA from 1 species